GUAGGGGGCAAGCGUUGUCCGGAUUUAUUGGGCGUAAAGAGCGUGUAGGCGGCCAGAUAGGUCCGUUGUGAAAACUCGAGGCUCAACCUCGAGACGCCGAUGGAAACCAUUUGGCUAGAGUCCGGAAGAGGAGAGUGGAAUUCCUGGUGUAGCGGUGAAAUGCGCAGAUAUCAGGAAGAACACCCGUGGCUAAGGCGGCUCUCUAGUACGGUACUGACGCUGAGACGCGAAAGCGUGGGGAGCGAACAGGAUUAGAUACCCUGGUAGUCCACGCCGUAAACGAUGGGUGCUAGGUGUGGGGGGUGUCGACUCCCUCCGUGCCGAAGCUAACGCAUUAAGCACCCCGCCUGGGGAGUACGGCCGCAAGGCUA
rnacentral:rRNA from 1 species